CUGCGUGUUAAAGUCUGUAACGGCGAUGAGAUGCCGCCUUUCCUCACCGCCGCUCUUUUUAAUAACAAGGCUGCGUGUUGCUGCAAAGCAAUGCCAAUCCACUGGCUUUCAGUCUUGGUAGCAACGUCUUCGGCGCAUGAUAAGACCAAGUAACCGAGCCGUUCGUGCACAAUCACCCUCAUGCACGAGGUGUUUUAUCCGAAAACACUUUGAGGAUGGAGACCACGGAGGAGUCGUGGACUGGAGUGGAUGUGGAUUUGGGAGCUGCAUGGAGCAGUUGUCCGUCACGAAUCUUUUUGCGGUCUGGGCUUGCUGUGCAUACAUGAAUCUGGGAAGCCCUUACCCCAAAAAGCAUUUGUGGAGGACGUGAACGUCGUUCAUGUUGUUGGGACUGAGAAGUCACACUGCUGCUGCCAAGACAGGCUCAGUGGUCUGUUGUCACACCGAGGUCUGGACUCACAAAGUGCACAAAUUCUCUACACAUCACACACACACUCCGCUGGGAGACAGCAGCAGUGACCAAACCACAGCGAGGUCAGCAGGUGGAAUCCACAGAGUGAGUGAGAGAAACUGUAAAAGGGAAGUAAACAAUAGUUUUUCAUCAUGCUCAUAUAGCACCGACGUGACCCCCCCUUACACUGCUUAUUUUUAUU
rnacentral:lncRNA from 15 species